ensembl:lncRNA
GUGUAUAGUAAGAAUCGCUUUCAUUGUCUCUCCCUUUCUCUCUUCUCCUUUUCUUUUUUCUGUUUUCAUGAACUAGGGAUUUGCACAGGACUUAGUACUUCGUUGGCAGCCACCUACCCUGUUUUUUAAGUUAUGAACAGUUCAUCAGAGAUUCUUUCUCUAAUUCCUCAAGGCUUGCUUAGCUUAUUUGGUAUUCUGUCGGUAUCAAAAGAAGUGUCAGACAUAGCUAAAUGUCUGGAUAUGCCUGGUUAAGUAGCUAUGGAGUCUGGGUAGCCACAAGGAUGUGCAGUGGACUCAACAGCCCAGACCACGGACAGGAACACCUCAGUUGCUGGGGAUGGGGUGCCGUGCUGAGGAGACCUCUGACAUCCAGCCCACAGACUGGACUCUGCUGCUUUGUCCCCAUAGCUUCAGCAGCCUUCAUGAGAAGAAUCCAACUUUUCCAGUGUCCUGUGCUUGUCAUACUGUUGGUACCUAACGGUCUGCUUGUCUCUAGGACAGUGCUCCCAUGCAUUUGACAGCCAGCCCUGCUCAGCGACACCUGGUGCUCGUGCUUUUCCUGGUCGCUCCCUCAGCACAUGCUUCCUUCUCACUCUUCAGACCAGCACUCCACCUCUAGCUGUCCCUUAACACAGAGGUCUUGCAUGAUUUCUGACCGAGGCAAGAUCUGAGCACCCUCAGAACACAACAGAAGGUGAUCUGUGUAUCAGACUUCUAAGCAGGAUCUAAGUCUUUUCUAAUUCAACCUCAUCUAUUUUUGUUUGUUUUGCAAUGUUUGGGAAAAUGAAGAAAUAGCUGUGUUAAGUUAUAUGAGAACUGCUGGUGCGAUGGAUGGAUGGGCGUGAAUGGUGCAGGCUCGUACACAAGCUCAACGACCAACUCUUGAGUUACCAUUGAGCACAUUCAGAGUCUGAAGAAAAUGAAACCAUAUCAUUCACAGCUUAGGAUCAGUCCACUUGGCCAUCUGGGUGUGAAAAUACUACUUUAUUUCCUGAGUAUCUUGAGGAACAAGAUACUCCAGUAGAAUCACUGUAGAAAACACCCAAACCGUAAACCCUAGGAUCUCUGCACAAUAAGACCUGAUAAUCCUGUCCUGAGGGGAAGGAAAACAGCUGAUGCCCUUGGUUCUUUGGACAGAGGGAGCGGUGUGAGGAUCCAGGCAUUCCAAGAGGAGUAGGCAGUGCUGACACAGUCUUAGAUUGGGUAGGAAGAGGCAGGGAGCAUAGUGAUAGAAGCUCUGUGUGUCACAGAUGUGACUGCAGUGCACUGCCCCCUGUCUGCAUGCUUUUUAACAUUGCUGCCACAUUGCUGUUUUCAUUCUAAAGGCCCGGGAAGAAGAAAUGACUGCAAAAGUAAUGGACCUGCAGACCCGGCUGGAGGAGCUCCAGAAGAAAUACGAGCACAGGCUAGAGCAGGAGGAGAGCGCCAAGGACAGUGUGAGAGGACUUUGAGUUCUUCUUGUGGUUCUGGGAAGUGUGGCCAUCUCCACGGCCUGGCUCACCCGCUGCCACACGUUCAGCUCAUUUAAUCCAAGGGCCUUUUAGGACUCAAGUUCCUUUUUCAGUCAAUGCAACUAAAACCAAAAGUUCAGAUCCCAUGUUAAGUGCCGUACUGGAAUUUAAAUCCAGGCUUCCAUGUUCAGAGCUACCUUUGCUGUUUCCCAGUAUGUCCUGGCCUUUCCACAGGCUGGGACUCUGCCCUUGAGAAGGUUUACAGGUCACAGUCACUGCCAACAGAAGUUUCCUAACAGCCAGUUACUUGGUUCUCCUUUCCAGAGUGUAGGGGAGAAGCCUCUGAACAAGGCCUCACUGAGCAGCACGCCUCACUAGUGAGUGAGUGGGAAGGACCCUUUUCCUCCUAAGGACAGCUAUGAAUACGUUCUGUCUGUGUAGCAUGCAGUUGUGGCUGAGGCCACACCCACCUUUGCUGUUAAAUACUGAUUCUAUGGAAACAGGCAUCUUAGCGCUAUGCGCUUCCCUAGCACGCUCUUCACUACCGCAGUGUUCGAUGCCGUUGUGAAGCUGACAGAGACUCUGAGUCUCUACCCUUGUCUCAGGAGAAGGAGGGACCAUCUGUAAUCACAAUUGUUCUCUCCUGUCCUCCUUGGGCGUGCUCCAGUGCUUCUGAAUGUUUUUUUGUCUUUCCUUGUGAUAGUUUCCUGCCAUGUUUCCCAGGCUUGAGCCUUGAGCUCAGUCAGUUUGUGCUUAAGCCAUCGUCCCAGCCCUGUCUCCCACACAGCUGGCAUCUGGCUGGGGUGGUAUUCCUUGUAGGUUCUAAGGCCUUGAGUCCCAUGAGAAACACUUUGUAAUUAGCCUCAGGUUGUGCUCAGAAAUGUCUUAAAGGACUUUAAAGAUGGGACAUGUUUUCUCAGGAAGUUAAGUGAGUGGUGGAUAAACAUAUUCUUGCGCUGGGCCUCCGUCUCCUUUCUGAUAGGAUGGCUACUGCUGGAGCUGUUGCAGCCUCCUUCCUUUCCUCAGUAAUUAUGUGUGUUUGCAUGUGGACAGGUUAGGUAACAAACAGACCAGGUUAAAAGUGGUGAUUUAAAAUUGCUUUAUUGAAGACCUGCUCACACUCUGGAGACGGUGAAGCUGGCUUCUCAUUUCCUGUCAUUCCAUGCUGCUGUCUUACUGUCUCCUCUACCUGUGACUUUAUUGUUUAUAUUCUUUCUUUUUUUAAUCUCCAGGUUACAGUUCUGGAGCUACAGACACAGCUGGCCCAGAAGACCACCCUGAUCAGCGAUUCCAAGCUGAAGGAGCAGGAGUUGAGAGAGCAGGUCCAUAAUUUAGAAGACCGUUUGAAAAGCUAUGAGAAGAGUGUAUGUGCAGCAGCUGUGGGGGCACCUUACAGAGGAGGCAAUUUGUACCACACUGAGGUCUCACUCUUCGGAGAACCUACUGAGUUCGAAUAUUUGCGAAAAGUGCUGUUUGAAUAUAUGAUGGGUCGAGAGACCAAGACCAUGGCCAAAGUUAUAACUACUGUCCUAAGAUUCCCUGAUGAUCAAGCUCAGAAAAUUUUGGAAAGAGAAGACGCUCGGCUGAUGUCAUGGCUCCGAACCUCAUCUUGAAGAAAUGGGGAGACUGAGGCUGGGCAUCUGCUGCUGAGGAAGCUGCCCUCCCACAUGUGGUGUUUGCGGAGAAUGGCGCUGUCAUCAUGGGCCAUUCGUGUAGCUUGAAGACACAUGCUACCCUGGCCACAGAUACAUAGCUUUUGAAGCAGACAUUCUUGGUGGGGAAAUGGUGAUAGUUUUGUUCUUUUUCAUUCAGUUUUUUUCUGGGAAGUUCUCUGUGGUUCAAAGGCUGUUCUGACCGGCCACCCGACUUGGCUGUUCAGUGUCUUUCUUGGGUUCUUCUCCCUCUCUUUAAAGAACUAUCUUCCUUAUUUAUUUUAGGGUGGUUUCUUUUUCUUCUUAAAGACUUGUGCAAUACAUUUUGAGGUGAAACUUAGUGAAUUUUUUUCUGAUAAAUUAGAGAAUUUAAUUGAAUAUUUGCUAAGGCUUGCUUCUUCAAGCUAUGAUAAGUCCCAGAUGGCAGCACCUCAUGUUUACCUAGCUUUUGUACUUAUAUUAUUUUUCAGAGGAAAAAAUACUACUGUAAAUUGUAAAUAGAACAUAAUCCUAUUGUCUGCAGCUCUGUGACUGUUGGCCAUGUCAUCUCAGAGGAUCAGAUGAAUAAAGUUUAUUUCCU